rnacentral:rRNA from 1 species
AGAGUUUGAUCAUGGCUCAGAUUGAACGCUGGCGGCAGGCUUAACACAUGCAAGUCGAGCGGGGGAGGUUACUUCGGUAACUGACCUAGCGGCGGACGGGUGAGUAAUGCUUAGGAAUCUGCCUAUUAGUGGGGGACAACAUUCCGAAAGGAAUGCUAAUACCGCAUACGUCCUACGGGGGAAAGCAGGGGAUCUUCGGACCUUGCGCUAAUAGAUGAGCCUAAGUCGGAUUAGCUAGUUGGUGGGGUAAAGGCCUACCAAGGCGACGAUCUGUAGCGGGUCUGAGAGGAUGAUCCGCCACACUGGGACUGAGACACGGCCCAGACUCCUACGGGAGGCAGCAGUGGGGAAUAUUGGACAAUGGGGGGAACCCUGAUCCAGCCAUGCCGCGUGUGUGAAGAAGGCCUUUUGGUUGUAAAGCACUUUAAGCGAGGAGGAGGCUCCUUUAGUUAAUACCUAAAGAGAGUGGACGUUACUCGCAGAAUAAGCACCGGCUAACUCUGUGCCAGCAGCCGCGGUAAUACAGAGGGUGCGAGCGUUAAUCGGAUUUACUGGGCGUAAAGCGUGCGUAGGCGGCUUUUUAAGUCGGAUGUGAAAUCCCUGAGCUUAACUUAGGAAUUGCAUUCGAUACUGGAAAGCUAGAGUAUGGGAGAGGAUGGUAGAAUUCCAGGUGUAGCGGUGAAAUGCGUAGAGAUCUGGAGGAAUACCGAUGGCGAAGGCAGCCAUCUGGCCUAAUACUGACGCUGAGGUACGAAAGCAUGGGGAGCAAACAGGAUUAGAUACCCCGGUA